ensembl:lncRNA
GUGGGUACCAAAGAAAGGUUUACCAAAUGUACCAUCAAACCACAUGUUGUCAAUUUUUAUAUAUUUUAUCUAGUUAUAUUCUAUUUUUUCACAGUUUUUUUUAAAUAAAGUAGGUCACACCAGUGACUUUAGUUAAAAUCAUGAGCUAAAUGAGAAUAUUUUAAAUAACUGAAAAGACUUGUACUUGACAACUUUCCUAUACUUAAAGGAGAACUCCGGUGUGAAACUGACAUAUGACUGGAUGUAGUAAAACAUGAUAAUGUGUUGAAUAGCCCACCUCUGUUCUCCUGCAGCUUUCCGAGUUCCAGCAAUUUUAUUCUGUUUGUUCAAACACCCUUUAGACUGUGUGAUAUGGGACAUAUUUUGCUGCUGCAGAUAAAUCGCUUUUUACACUGUUAACGAGGCCCAAAAUAGCUCCACACCUCAUUGGUAGAAUGAGAGAGCCCUGACAUUUAAAACGAGGCAUUAAUAACAUUUUAAAGUACACAAGAAGUUUAUUAAAAACCACUGUUUACAAUCUUAACAGAAAAGUCAUGAUCAGUAGAGUGACGAACAAAAUUAGUGUGACGAGGAAAGCUGCGGGAGAACAGAGGUGGGCUAUUCAACAACGGUUAGUACUCUUUAUCAUUCUUUACUACACCAAAAGUCAAUUUCACACCACAGUUCUCAUUUAAUUUGGCCCUAUUUAUCUCAUAUUAAUCAUUUAUUUCAUAAUCAUGUGAAGAUUACUGCAGUUAAAAUAUGGAAAUCACCCUUCACAUACCAUUUUGAGGAUAAGCAUUUUUUAAAUACUUUAUUGUUUAUACUGUAUUUUUCUUCUUAUUUAUUUUUUAAUAUGUACGUGUACAGGUACAAAUAUGUAUUUAUAGACAGAACUAACAACGUUUUUUUACAGAUGACGAAGAUGAAGACUACCAUGCAGGAUCUGUCUGCAAGUUCUGUGCCCAUUGUGAGCACUGCGACAGCUGCGACAAAUGCCCAUGUAAAAAGGGAGACAAGUCAGAACACUGUGAAUUCUGUGAGGUGAGAAAUGUCCUCUAUAUACACACACAAUCACAUACACACACAAACAUGUUUAUGUAUAAGUUUAUAUAUACACAGUUAAUAUAUACAUUUAUAUAUAUAUACACAGUUUCAUUACAGCAAAAUAAUUCUUACAUCUUAUCUUAAAUGCAUCUCAGAUUAAGUCUAACACUAUCCUCCAAACCUGCACUUGUAACAAAUCUAAAAUAUCUGGUUCUGCUGUUUAUGGUGUUUGUACUGUUGGUUCAGGGAGCUUUCACACCUACCUUGUUUGGUCUGGACCUUCUAGCAGGUGCGAAAAGUGCCUUGAACCACAUUUGGUCCAAUCAAAAGAGAUGGUCUCAGACCAGAUGAAAUUAACCGUAGACCAAUUCAUUUGCAGUGUGAAAACACUUUUCUAGAUAGUUCGGAUUUUAGGACCUUUAGCUCUAACUCCUACAAUACCUAUCUGUUGUUUUGAAGAUGUACUAAACCAGUAAACUAAUCAUCCCAGUUUGGCUUUUGUCAAUGUCUUAGAUUCUUUAUACAUCUACUUCAAGUACUGACUGUUCACUUGCUGCCCGAUUUAUCCACCCCUUGACAGGUGCCACUGUAGCCACUUAAGUAUUCGUGUUAUGGCUGAUCGUUGUUCAAUGCAUCACUUUUUCCAGGGUAAUAUUAGUAAAAGUAAGUGAGACAGUGAGAAAGAAACCCUAGAAGUGUCACCGCUCUGUUAUCCAUGCCUCUACUACUGAUGUUUUAGUUGUGCCAGGCUGAUAAAGGCCAUACGUGCCUCAGCUGUGCCUAUGCUGAGAGACAGGGUGAGCUCUUGUAAUGAAUUAAAUGCAGUGGAAAUGUCUGAGGAUAGUCACAGCUGACACGAAAAUGCCAGCAUGUGCAUUUAAUUGGGCAUGAGGAUAUGUGCCAUCAUUAUACAGUGUAGUAGGGUUUAAAUGCGAAUAUAGUGACAAUAUGUGGGUAUAGAAUAAAAGUAUAUCUUCAUUUGUGUUGAUCA